AUACCCUCAGAACUCGUUUUCUGGCGUUGGGCGACUGCCUUGUAAAGGCGGUUGUCUGAAAAUUAGUGGCGGCGGCGCUCGCGGCGCGACGUACUCAGUAACAUCUACUAGUACGAAGUCCCGGCGCUUUCCGGCCGUCUACCAAACCCUUUAUCUAUGCAAAGU
rnacentral:misc_RNA from 1 species